UACGGAGGAUGCGAGCGUUAUCCGGAUUUAUUGGGUUUAAAGGGUGCGUAGGCGGACUGUUAAGUCAGCUGUGAAAGCUUACGGCUCAACUGUGGAACUGCAGUUGAUACUGUUAUUCUUGAGUAUAGAUGAGGUGGGCGGAAUGUGUAGUGUAGCGGUGAAAUGCUUAGAUAUUACACAGAACUCCGAUUGCGAAGGCAGCUCACUGGGCUAUGACUGACGCUGAGGCACGAAAGUGUGGGUAUCGAACAGG
rnacentral:rRNA from 1 species